UGAAUACGAGAUGCUACGGCGUCGAAGCAGUCUAUGUCAUACUUCCAAGAAAAGCUUGCACUGUCAUAAACAAAUAAUGCCUGUACCAUAACCGACACAGGUGGGUAGGUAGAGUAUACUAAGGGGCGCGAGAUAACUCUCUCUAAGGAACUCGGCAAAAUGACUCCGUAACUUCGGGAGAAGGAGUGCCUUAUUUUAUAAGGUUGCAAUAACAAGAUCCAAGCAACUGUUUACCAAAAACACAGGUCUCCGCUAAGUCGUAAGACGAUGUAUGGGGGCUGACGCCUGCCCAGUGCCAGAAGGUUAAAGAAGUUGGUUAGCAUCCGCGAAGCUGAUAACUGAAGCCCUGGUGAACGGCGGCCGUAACGAUAACGGUCCUAAGGUAGCGAAAUUCCUUGUCGGGUAAGUUCCGACCCGCACGAAAGGCGUAAUGAUUUGGAUACUGUCUCAGAGAGGGGCUCGGUGAAAUAGACUUGUCUGUGAAGAUGCGGACUACCUGCACCAGGACAGAAAGACCCUAUGAAGCUUUACUGUAACUUGAAAUUGAAAUUGGACUUUACUUGCGCAGUAUAGGUGGGAGGCGUUGAGAAUAUUCUUGCGGGAAUGUUGGAGCCAUCAGUGAGAUACCACUCUUGUAAUGUUAGAUUUCUAACUUUGUAUCAUUAUCUGGUCAAAGGACAGUUUCAGGCGGGCAGUUUGACUGGGGCGGUCGCCUCCCAAACGGUAACGGAGGCGCACAGAGGUUUCCUCUGAACGGGUAGAAAUCGUAUCUAGAGUGUAAAGGCAUAAGGAAGCUUGACUGUGAGACCUACAAGUCGAGCAGGGACGAAAGUCGGUCUUAGUGAUCUGACGGUGCUGAGUGGAAAGGCCGUCACUCAACGGAUAAAAGUUACUCUAAGGAUAACAGGCUGAUCUCCCCCAAGAGUUCACAUCGACGGGGAGGUUUGGCACCUGGAUGUCGGCUCAUCGCAUCCUGGGGCGGUAGUACGUCCCAAGGGUUGGGCUGUUCGCCCAUGAAAGCGGUACGCGAGCUGGGUUCAGAACGUCGUGAGACAGUUCGGUCCAUAUCCGGUGUAGGCGUUAGGAUAUUGAGAGGAGCCUUCUUUAGUACGAGAGGACCGAGAAGGACAUACCUCUGGUGUACCAGUUAUCGUGCCAACGGUAAACGCUGGGUAGCUAUGUAUGGAGUGGAUAACCGCUGAAAGCAUCUAAGUGGGAAGCCCACCUCAAGAUAAGUAUUCUC
rnacentral:rRNA from 1 species